rnacentral:rRNA from 1 species
AGGUGAACCUGCGGAGGGAUCAUUCUUCCGUAGGUGAACCUGCGGAAGGAUCAUUACAGAGUUCAUGCCCGAAAGGGUAGACCUCCCACCCUUGUGUAUUAUUACUUUGUUGCGUUGCCGAGCUGCCUUCGGGCCUUGAAUGCUCGCCAGACAAUACCAAAACUCUUUUGAUUAAUGUCGUAUGAGUUACUAUAUAAUAGUUAAAACUUUCAACAACGGAUCUCUUGGUUCUGGCAUCGAUGAACAACGCAGCAAAAUGCGAUAAAUAAUGUGAAUUGCAGAAUUCAGUGAAUCAUCGAAUCUUUGAACGCACAUUGCGCCCCUUGGUAUUCCGGGGGGCAUGCCUGUUCAAGCGUCAUUUCAACCCUCAAGCUUACCUUGGUAUUGAGUCUAUGUCAGUAAUGCCAGGCUCUAAAAUCAGUGGCAGCGCCGCUGGGUCCUGAACGUAGUAAUAUCUCUCGGUACACGUUCUCGGUGUGCUUCUGCCAAAACCCAAAUUUUUCUAUGGUUGACCUCGGAUCACGUAGGGAUACCCGCUGAACUUAAGCAUAUCAAUAAACGGAGGAAGAACUUAAGCAUAUCAAUAAGCGG